rnacentral:rRNA from 1 species
CAGCAGCCACGGUAAUACGUAGGGUGCGAGCGUUAAUCGGAAUUACUGGGCGUAAAGCGUGCGCAGGCGGUUGUGUAAGACAGGUGUGAAAUCCCCGGGCUUAACCUGGGAACUGCGCUUGUGACUGCACAGCUAGAGUAUGGCAGAGGGGGGUGGAAUUCCACGUGUAGCAGUGAAAUGCGUAGAGAUGUGGAGGAACACCGAUGGCGAAGGCAGCCCCCUGGGCCAAUACUGACGCUCAUGCACGAAAGCGUGGGGAGCAAACAGGAUUAGAUACCCCAGUGUCCCUGUCUCUUAUACA